UUUCACUCAUGGCAAGUUUCAUUUGGACUAAAAACAAGUUUGAAGAUAUUAUUUCCCUUUCCUCUCAGUCCCAGUGGUCCUGAGGCCCAGGUUGGAGCCACUGUUCUCUCACCCACCUGAAAGCUGACUCAUCAACUUCCCUGGAUCCCAGACAUGGAUUUUCCCUGAAACCAACUCUUCCUGUCUUGGGAAGCCGGCUCAGGUCAGUGCCUGACCGUUUCCUGGGAGAGGCUCUGGUAAGGCCAGCCUCGGCCUUUCCUUCAUCUACUUCUGCUCCGAGAAAGUUCCUCAUUCUUUUUUCUCUUUAGACAUUACGUUAUUUUUCCUGCUAAGUGUUACGGUAACACAUAGUAAUCAUAGAAAAUUUGCAAAAUAAAAGAAAGUAUAAAGAAACAAACCAACGAAACCCCCCAAUGAUUUCUAAAGGGCCUGUGUUUCUAGUCCUUGCUCCAUUCGGGUCCCCUCCUUUCUUCUGCAAACUUCCUG
rnacentral:lncRNA from 10 species